CCUACGGGAUGCACCAGUGGGGAAUAUUGCACAACGGGCGCAAGCCUGAUGCAGCCAUGCCGCGUGUAUGAAGAAGGCCUUCGGGUUGUAAAGUACUUUCAGUGGGGAGGAAGGGAGUAAAGUUAAUACCUUUGCUCAUUGACGUUACCCGCAGAAGAAGCACCGGCUAACUCCGUGCCAGCAGCCGCGGUAAUACGGAGGGUGCAAGCGUUAAUCGGAAUUACAGGGCGUAAAGCGCACGCAGGCGGUUUGUUAAGUCAGAUGUGAAAUCCCCGGGCUCAACCUGGGAACUGCAUCUGAUACUGGCAAGCUUGAGUCUCGUAGAGGGGGGUAGAAUUCCAGGUGUAGCGGUGAAAUGCGUAGAGAUCUGGAGGAAUACCGGUGGCGAAGGCGGCCCCCUGGACGAAGACUGACGCUCAGGUGCGAAAGCGUGGGGAGCAAACAGGAUUAGAUACCCAGUAGUC
rnacentral:rRNA from 1 species